UGACGUUAGAAUUAUCUUUCCUUCGAGGAAUAUCACCAUUGAAUCCCUUCUGGUGCAUGAAUGGCCAGUUCGUCAUAUUUUUGCUUUGGGUAAUAUCAUUCCCUGCAUGCUUGUUGGAAUCUCUGAAGCUGUUCAAAGACAGGUCUAGCCCUACUUUAGCAGAUAAUUCACCUGCUGGCUGAAAGGUCAUCAUUUCGAUACCACUGCUCACUGGUAUGAGAUUAUUCCUCCUGGUCGAACUUUCCCCCGGGAUAUUAUUGUUAGGAUGCAUAAGAGUUGAGGGAGCAUGUCCAACUUCAGGAAACUUGCUACUUUGCCAAUUCACGCCAUAACCUCCAACUUUUCCUGCCAA
rnacentral:misc_RNA from 1 species